rnacentral:lncRNA from 1 species
AUUCUCAUCCUUUCUCUACCACUUAAGGCUCAUGGCAUACAAUCAUAAUCGUAUUUUUAUGGUGUUUUGAAUUUGAUUUGAGAAAAUACCGCUUAACGUUGGAUCAAGGGUUUGUUAUUGAGUAUGAAAUAGUGAAGAUCCUAUGUCCUAAGGUUGGCUAACAAGUAAAAACAAGACAAAGGAAAACGAGUAAAAAGUACACCAAAAUGGGGAGAGGGAUACAUGGAAAAUACAAGGGAUUUGUGCGAGAAAUAAAUGGUCUCGCUGUAAGGUAGCUCAAGAGAAAGUCUUGUGUGUGCAUUGUGUCCUAAGCUAACAAUUGGAUAAUUGAAUUACAAAGCAUGUCUCCCUAUGGUAGUGCCAUGAAUGAACCAUUCUUGCAAUAAAAGAUUACAAGUCCUCGGAAACUCCAAGUUGCAUAGGUCAAUCAAAAAAGUCCAAGUCCAAAUGCAAGGGUACUAACAAGUCCUCUAAGUCUCCAAGUUUAGUUUAUACACAAGGUACAUAUGGCCCAUAAUACUCCAUGUCUAAUGCUAAGGUCAAACAUUAAGUCCGUAGUCCAAUUGUCCUCAAAUUAGAUCUCUUUAGUAUUUUCCAUUUUAUCAUGUUUUUGUUCAUUUUAGAUUGUAUAUCAAAAUAAAGCAAUAAUGAUGAAGAAUGGUAAUGAUGAAUGAAAAUUAUGAUAUACAAAGUAAAGAAAUAAAUUGCACGAGUUAAAAUAUUAGAAGUUAGGUGCGUAAUGUAAAUGUUAGAAAUUAGAAGUUAGAUGUUUGAAGUCAAUUUAAAAAGGAACCGAUUACUUGAGAUUAUUUAUCCAUAAAUCAAAUGACUCAAAAUAUGACGUAUCAAGGGACAAUCUAUAAAUGAUUCAAAGUAUCGAAAAUGAUCCAAUGAUCAUUUGUCAAUAAGUUUGAAUCAAAGAAGAUUGAAUCAACCAAACUGUCUAUUUAUCAAUGAUUUGAAGUAUGAAAUAUGUAUCAAUAAAGCAAUCAAAACAAAGUGAAAAGAAGAGAAAGUUAAUGGUUAAAUGGUUAGAGAUGAAGAUUCAUCAAGCUUGCAAAUAUAAAUGAGUCUACAAAACAAACCACAAAACACUUGUUCAUAACAAAAAUGCAAAAAUAAAAUGAUAUUAACUCAUGUAAUAUGAAGCAAAUAUUAAGAACACAUGACAAAAUAAACAUGUGGGCCAGGGCCCAAUCAAUCUCACCAAAGGAGAUCCAAACACAAUUAUCACAUUCUAGACCAGAUCCCCCAACUUCAAACAUUCCUUAUAUUCCCUGAGUACGGAGAACAAGCCUCCGUUGCGUCGAAGCUCAUUGCCACCGGCGCCGGAGCUCCAAACAUGAACCCACAAGUAUCAAAAUGAUUGUUUCUACCCCGUGAAUCCAAAUCCCUUAUCCAAAUAGAACAAUCUUAAACCUACUGAUAAAAUCGCAUCCAAAUAAGAAAGAACCCUAAGUUGAAUUCCAGAAAUUAAAUGUUCAGUGAUGAAGAUCAAAGGCUACCAGGUUAGGGAUUUGAUCUCCCAAAACUAAUACUACACCAUGGUAACUAAAUCGGAGCAGAACCAAAAGGUUGAACCAAAUGCCCGUCAGAGACGACGACUGAGACGAUAACAACAAUAACCUCAAGUGCGCUUCUUCUUCACUUUAGUAUGCUUCUCUUCUUCCUUCCACUUCUUUGUUCCUUCACUUCUUCUCUUUAUUCUUGCUUGGACUUAGGAUAGAGAGAAUGAAUUUCAUGAGUGUGAGCAAAGUGUGCUAGAGUGUGUCAGAGAGCAAUCCUUCCUCUCCAAUGAUUGGCAACGAUUGCCUCAUUUAUAGGGCAAUCCAAGGGGGUAGUUUAGGGAAUUGAAUUUGAGUUGUUAAAUCCUGAUUUAUCCAACUGUCAAUUAAGUGAAUUUCUGGAAAUGGAAUGGAAUUAGGUCACGUGGCAUUUAGAUGAGCACAUGUUUUAUUCCCUUCAAUUCAUUUGCAGCUUCCCCCUUUUAUAUCUAAAUCCCCUCUUCCUAUCUGCCUUGACAUGGUUCAUCUGAUACCUUGCUAUAGCUUGCACAUGGGACUCAUGCUCUGCUCAUGGUUGAAUGAUGCAUCCAGUUCAUAUGGUGGGCCAGAUGCAAGGUUAUGCAUAAGUUUACAAGUAGGUAUGAAUUAUGUCUCAACUUGGGCUCACCAUUGUUUUGGUUUAGGUUGUGUCUUAUGGAGGGUUCUUAACUACUAAUCUGAAACUUGUUCUUCUUGUUGGGAACUCUGCAAAUAGUCAUGGGAUGGUUCUAGUGUAAGCAACAACCACAUGAUUCAAUUAGCAUGGUUCUAACUUAGGUUGACUUGCUUAUGCCUGAUGGUUUCUUGUGGAAUGAUAUUAUAAUAGGCAUGAGUAUGAACCUAUAACAACAUUUGGUUAGGUUAUUCUGACUUGUGCUUCAAUAGGUUUGGCAACAUGAUGCAUUGCCUCUUGAUGUAGCCUACUUGUCAAUAAACUUGUUUGUUGAUGCAAGAUAUUGUUUGGAUUGAGUUGCAUGAUUGGCUGCUAGUUCCUACAGGUAGCUUGGUAUGGGACUUGUUGAUUGUUUGUAGUGAUAGACUCGUGUGCUAUGCAAGGUUAUGCUCCAGCUUUCCAUUCUGAUCCUAGUUGCAGGGGAAUGUGGACUUGUGUAGUGUUUAUGUUGGCUUGUAUCUCAUGUCUUCUAUUGGCUUUGAUAUGCAUCUCUUGUUUCCUGUACUCAGACUUAUGUAGUAGGUCUGCACUGUACCUUAAAUCUUGGUUCUGCAUCAUCUUCCUACAAUAAAUGUGUUGAUCUAUGCUUGGUGUUCAUGCAAUUGAUUCAGGAUGCUCAUGAUGAUGGUUAAAUGGUCAAAUGUAGCUUGAGGAAGAUGGAAUUGUAAGUUUGCAGCAUAUGUGCACAUGGCCUUUGGUAAGAUGUCAAGAAUAUGAGGUUGUGCUCUUGUUAUCCUUAUACUCAUUGCCUUUAUUGCUGUUAUAUUUUGUGGGAUGGAUGAGGUCUUGUCUUAAAUUGUUGUUUGUUAGGUAUUGAAUUAUGGUAUGCAUUGCCAGUUUAAAUUGCAAGUCUUGUAUUGGCAUGAUAUCUAUAGAUGAUGAUAUGGUUAGAUGGUCCAAUGCAGGUAUGUAGUCAUUGCCAGUCUGCAACAUGAUUGCAACUUCAUGUUCAUGGUCAUUACAGGUUGAAUUUGCUACAAGUUUGCAAGGUUCAAAGCAUGCUUCCAAUGUUCAAUUGAUAUUCAGCUUGGUGCAGCCAUUGGAUUUGCCUUGGUCUAUGUUGGUUCUGCAUGAUAUCAUGUAUGGCAUGUCCUGCACCGUAACAUUGUCCUUAUUUGUUCAUGGUUUGUCUUCUGGUUGAUUGCUUUUGAACUGACUUGGCAUUCCAGGAUUUGUGGCAUGUGUGGACUUGGUUUCAUGUGACUUUGCAGGUUAAUAUUGUGUUGCUGGUACUUCUAAAUGUCAAAAUUUGGAUGGUCAUCGUGCAUAAGGUGAUUACUUCAAGACCAAGGAUCACAGUUGAAGAUUAGGAGGAGGAUUAUAAUUGAUAUUGAAAUUUUUAGGGUUUUAGGGCUUGGGUUGACUUUGGUCAAACUUCCAUUUUUUUGUAAUUUUCUUAAUGUUUGGGCAUUUGUAAUGGAUUAUGAUGAUGAUAUUGAAUUAAUGACUUGUAUGAUUUUGAUUGAAUUGAAUUUGAAAUGAAUGAACUUGAUGAUUAUGACCAUGCCUUGAAUUGAAAUGUAUGAUAAUUUUGAAUAUACACAUUGAAUAUCAUACAAACUUGAAUUUUGAAAUGAAUGGAUUUGAUAUGAGCUAAAUGAUGAAUUAAUGCACUGAUGAACUUGAUGAAUCAAAGAUAUGACUUACAACUUGGAUAACAUCAAGACUUGAAAUGGAUUGACGCUUGAAUGAAUCAUUAACAUGACUUAAAGGACAUAACCAUAAUUUGAAUGACCAGUGACAAGCAUGAAACAAAGAUCUUGGCAAGGACCAAUAGGCACAAUGAAUUAGGACCUAACUAGACAUUCAUGGACCAGGCACCAAUGGUAAUGACAAUGGCAUGGAGUGGACUUGAAUAACCUUGACCAAAUGAAACCAAGCAAAGUAUGAACCAUGUACUUGAAGAGACUAGAUGAACUAGCACAACAUGUUGGGUGAAACUUGGCCAAGCUAUAUAACCAAAUCAUAAUGGCAUGAAGAAUGAAAUCAGGGUUAUGGGCCUACAUGAUGGCAUGGGACAUGAUUAGUGUUUAGGGCCAUCUUGAUCAAGUUGGGAUCCCUAAACCAGGGUUUUGCUUCCUCAAGAAGCCACAGUUGACACACCAAGUAUGGGCACAAUACCCAAGCAUCAAGAGCUAUCUCCAAGUUAGGGUUUGAUUUGGGGCCACCCCAAGUUGUCGAGAAACCCUAGUUUCCACUAGGUGCAAGAACAAAGCUAUGAAUUCAAGUCACAUGUCUUCUUGUGUUGAACCAUGCAUAUGCAGAUGAAAUGAAUGCUUAUGAUGAUAUGUAAAUUAUUAGGUUUAGUGACCUAGCUGAACAUUGUGAAGGGUAGGGUGAAUUUUGGGGUAUGACAACAAGAAUCAGCUAGAGUCAUGCUUCAUGCCAAGAAUCUACCCUACCAUUUUUGGAAUGAGGCAAUGAAUAUUGCUUUCUAUAUUUAUAAUAGAGUCACUUUAAGAACUGGUACCUCAGAUACAAUUUAUGAACUAUGGAAAGGAAGGAAGCCCAUUGGCAAAUACUUUCAUGUAUUUAGAAGCAAAUGCUACAUUCUGGAUGACGGUGAACAAAGAAGACAUAUGGAUCCCAAGAGUGAUAAAUGAAUAUUUCCGGGAUACUCUACAAACAACAGAGCUUAUAGAGUUUUUAAUUCCAGAACCAAAGUCAUGAUGGAAUCCAUCAAUGUUGUAGUGGAUGAUAAUAUCUCAAAAAAAGGGACUGAUGUUGAGGAAGAUGUUGGAACAUCAUAUCAGCAGAUUGACACAUCUGAGAAUGAGGAAUUUAUUGAGUCAGACAGUGAAUCAGGAGGCAUUGAACCAUACAACCACCAAGUCAACAAAGGUCCCUCAAUCAGAAUUCAGAAAGAUCAUCCAACAAAUCUCAUUAUUGGAAACCUUAAUGAAGGGGUCACCACUAGAUCUAGAGAUGUGAUUUCAAAUGCUUGCUCUAUCUCUAAGUUUGAACCUAAAAUUGUGAAGAAAGCCUUGACUGAUGAAUUUUGGAUCAACGCUAUGCAAGAAGAAUUAGGUCAGUUUAUAAGAAAUGAGGUAUGUGACUUAGUUCCUAGGCCUAAAGGAAUGAAUGUUAUUGGCACAAAAUGGAUCUACAAGAACAAAUCUGAUGAAAAAGAGAUUGUAACUAGAAACAAGGCCAUACUUGUUGCUCAAGGAUACACUCAAAUUGAAGGGGUUGAUUUUGAUGAGACCUUUGACCAUGUUUCUCUCCUUGAGUCAAUAAGAAUACUAUUAUGAGUGGUUUGUUUACUUAAGUUCAAGCUAUUUCAAAUGGAUGUGAAAAGUGUCUUCUUAAAUGGGUACUUGAAUGAAGAAGUCUAUGUUGAACAACCCAGGGGGUUCAUAGAUCCCAACUUUCCAGGUCAUGUUUACAAACUGAGGAAAGAUCUCUAUGGAUUAAAGCAAGCACCUAGGUCCUGGUAUGAAAGGCUCAUUGAGUAUCUUGUUAACAAUUGAUACAGGAAAGGAGGAACAAACAAAAAAGUUCAAGCUAUUGAAUCCUCCAGCACACCCUCCAAAUCUAUCAGGAAAAGAGCUAGUGUUGGUCCUACAAAAGGAUGGAGCAAGGUUUUUACUCCUGUGUCUAAGAAUAAAUCCCUGAAGAGGAAGGAAGUUCCUUCUGAGUCUAGUGAAUCUGACCAUGAUUUCGAACACAAUGUUCAGGACAUCAUCUCCACUUCCAGAAAGCAAGCCUUUGGGAAGAAGAUUCCGGCUAAUAUCCCUGAUGUUCCAAUUGACAACAUUUCCUUUCACUUUGUGGAGAAUGUUGAAAAAUGGAAAUUUGCUUAUCAAAGAAGAUUAGUUAUGGAAAGGGAAAUGGAGAAAUAUUCUUUUGAAUGUAAAGACGUGAUGAGUCUGAUUCAAGAAGCUGGAUUAAUGAAAACUGUAAAUAGUUUUGGAAAGUGCUAUGAAAUGCUUGUCGAAGAAUCUAUUAUGAACAUCUAUAAGGAAUAUGAAAAAAGGAGGAGCAAGGAGUUUUAAAAAGUGUAUAUCAGAGGAAGACAUGUUAAUUUUUCUCCUGAAAUAAUCAAUAGGUUCUUGGGCAGAAAUGAAGAAGAACAAGCUGAAAUAGAAGUCUCUGACAAUGUCAUAUGCAGAGAGAUUAUUGCUAAACAAGUGAAGGAAUGGCCAAGGAAAGGGAAACUGUCUGCAAGUACCUUGAGUGUGAAAUAUGUUGUUCUCCACAGAAUUGGAGCUGCUAAUUGGGUUCUAACCAAUCACACUUCCAAUAUUGCUACAAGACUAGGUAAGUUUAUUAUUAUAUUGUUGGGACUAAGUCAAGUUUUGACUUUGGAUCCUAUGUCUUUGAUCAAACUAUGAAACAUGCUGCCUUUUAUGCUGUGAAGAUGCCAAUAACUUUUCCCUCCUUGAUCUAUGGUGUUAUCCUGAGUCGACACCCAAGUAUCUUAAUCAACUCCGACAGUACCUGCAAAAGGGGCCCUCCUCUCUCAUUACAUUAUAGGCUGUUCACUGGGAAACAUGUCCCAGACAUUGUCAUGACAUCUGGGCAGACACCUUUCAGGCCUACUAAUAGAACAUGCAUCCUUGCUGAGCUAAAAGAUACCUGCAAGACUUUGGAUGAAACUAUAAAAAGUUGUACUGAAAGGAAAAUCAAGAUUGAAAUUUUGAUAAAGGCCAUGUAUGAAGAAGAAGGAAGUUUGAAAGGUGAUGGAACAAAUGAAUAAGAGGAAAAUGAAGAUGGGUCUGAUGAAAGUGAUGAUGAAGAUGCUACCAGCAGUGAUGAAGACUAAAAUUCCCUAGUUCAUUUUUGUGUUGGUUAAAUUUUUUUUUAUGGGUUGUGCCCUGAUUAUUUUUGUUGCACUUUAGAAGUGCUAUUGGUUAUGUUUGGAUUGUAAACUCUCUUGGUUGUGUUCUUUUAACUGUCCUGCUUUGGUAAGUUUUUGUUAACUUUAUUGCUAAAAAGAGGGAGUAGUCAUGUGGUAGUUAUAUAGUUAUGUGGUGUUGCUGUUUGAUGCUUGUUUUAUUUUUAGUCGUUAGCCCUCUUGCUCUCUAAGGGGCAACAUGUGCAUGUAUGGAGGGGGAGUAACUCUUGAGGCAACUCUGCCCCUGGUUCUGCUACUCAGGGGGAGCAUAUUUGUUUUUCUGUGUUUGUUUUUCGUGUGUUGUUACAAAGGAAUUCAAGGGUUGCUGAGGUUAAUGAUGUCAGGAACAAUGUUCAGACAUCCGUCUAAAAGCAAAACAAUGUUCUGACAUCCUUGUGAGAUAGUAUGAGGCUUAUUUUUCACUGCGCCUACCUCUGGUGUUCUUGUGAAAAAGGAUUUCGAGUGUUUACUUGUUGGUUUAAUUCUAUGAUUCUAACCCUCAUUCCUGUUGGUCUAUGCAAAGAUUAUUUUAACCAAAAUUUGCCAAAGGGGGAGAUUGUUAGGUCUGAUAUGUUGUGAUUGGCUGCACUUUAGAAAAAUAAGUAUUAUUGACAGAUGUUGAACAAGAUGUCCUGACAUGUUGUUUCAACAUUGCAGUGUGACCUAGCUUAAGUAUUUUGUGAGAUUUGGUUUCUUUAAUGUUUUAUCUGAAGAAUCUCUGAAGAUUUAGUUCACAUAUUAUGUUGAGCAUUUUAUAAAAAGAAAAAGACUAUUGUGUCUUGACUUAUUUACGAUGUCAAGAUAUUUUAGGAAACAUCUGGAUUAAUUGAGAUCAAAUAUGCAGAAGAUUAUGCAGAGAUUUUGGAUCUGCUGCAAAUCAAGCCCGAAGCCCUUGUCUUUCCACUGCUAUUUAUAAUGAGGUUCUAAACCUAAGAAGGCAACAUAGAAGUGCAUAAUAUUGUCCAAAUUAGGGUUUCAUGUUUGUGCUUUAUGUGAGCCAUUCGAGUAUCUCUUUGGUACUUGAACUGGACCUGGUUUAUUGAGUUGUAACUAACAAUUCCUCAGAAGAUUUUAAGCAAGAGUGUGUAAGACCCCAAUUUUGACCCUAAGAUCCCUCAUGCAAUCUCAUCAUAUGCAUUAGCAUUGGGAUCAUACCUUGGCAUCCUCCUUACCCUUCUUUCAUUGGGUUUGAGUUGGGAGAGAUCACCAAGAACCAUGUGAUUGUAUCAUACUUGUAUAUUAUCAUUUUACUAACCAAAAUACCAAAAAUAUGUCUUUGUAUUUGCCUAACUCUUUUGUAGGAAGGGCAUGAUUACCAUUGAUCUAUCAAGUUCACAUCUAGGACUUAAGACCCUCAUGGCUAAGAGCACAACCAAUGAAUGAUCCACAAUGGCUCUAAGCAUCAUAUAUGAGUCUCAAUGAUCUUUGCGUGUUAUUUUGAUCAAGAUUUGUUCAAGAGUUUGGAGUUGGUUUGCCUUGGAAACCCUAGUUCAUCUGGGUAUCUUGAGUAAAUUCUUCAACAAGCUUCCUCCUCAAUUGAUCAAAUUUCUCAAGGGACACUUCAAAGUUCAUCAUCUUAUGCAUAUAUUAUCUACCAUGAGCCUAAAAAGUCAAGAGAAUUGCAAGUUAUCAAGUUGCUUGAUGGUGGUUGGCCAGAUGAAUUCAUCUGAUCAAAACUGGGCCCCCUUAGACUCUAUCUCCUACAUUUUUCACCAUAUUAAAAUGAUUCUAAGAUAAAAGUUACUCUAAAUGAUAUUCCAAACAACUUUAAUGUUGGAGUCUAGAGCUAAUUUUGCUUGGAAAGGCAUCUUCCAUGUUGAAACAUUAUAGGUCAUUUUGUCUAAACCCUUUUGAAAGUCAACUUCCCAAGGCCAUAACUUGAUCAAUUUGUAUGAGAUGAAAGAUUUCCAAGUUUCACAAUAAAAUUCAAGAUUUCUACUUAAAAUUUUAUGUUUGGAGUGAAAGCUAAAUCAACUUUUAUGAGCAUGUGAUAUGAGGAUACAUUAUAGGUCAUUUUGGACCAAUACCAUUAAACAAGUGAUUUUCCUCAACUUUAAAAAUGCAUAACUCUCUCAUUCCAAAUCCAAAUGAUGUCAAAUUGGUAACCAUAUUGAAGGUAUUUGAAAUAGAUACAACUUUGAUGAAGACACGUUUCUCAUUUGGAGCUCACAUAAAAAGUUUAGUAAGGUGGAACAUUGAGGUAUUUGGUUUGACACUUAGAAAUUUUUUCAACAUGUUGAAAUUUCCAAACUUUCACCUCAAAACUCACCUUGAUACACGUUCCAAAUGGAAAAGUGUUCAACAUAAGAGUUGUUCCUCUUGAUCUAAGCUUUCCAAAGAGUCCUAUUUCAUUCAUUUCGGACAAGGUUUUCCAGGGUUGCGCAUGGUUUUCAUAGGCCUACAUCAAGUGGAAAAAUCAAAAGUGCAAAUGACCAUUUCACAUUGCAUUGCCAUUCAAGCUUCAUUUCAAUCUCAUUUCAGAUGCAUUUGAACCUAAUUGGAUUGCUUCAUGGGCCUGUACACGCCCAUGCAAGCAUGUGCAUGACAUUGCCAAAUUUGGAAGAAACUUGAAGUGUGUAAAUAACAUUCGCAAUUGCUAUAAAUACAAGCCCCCUGAGCUCAUUUGAGAAAAUCCUCACGCACCAGCUUUUCUCCCUCUCUUUAAACCCUCACUAUCCAAAGGAAAACCUGAGAAUUUUCAUUCUGAAAAUUGAGUUUGAAUCUCACUGUUUGGAGAUUCAAAAACUCCAAGAUCCAAAGCUUUGUUCCAUUUCCAAACCACUUAUGCAAGCUCCCUGAGCGUGAUCAAGCAAGGAUUGAAGCAAGUAAGAUCAAGUUCUGCACAACAUUGAAGGUAUUUUCCAGAAAUUUUCUUCUCUUCGAUUCUCACUCAAUUCUCAUCAAUUCUCUUCGAUUCUGCACAACAUUGUAGGCAAGAAGAUUGAGUUGCUUUGAGGUCAAAUCGAAGCAACUCAAUUGACACACCUCAAAAUUCAACUCCUCAUAUCUUUAUAUAUAUAUAUAUGUGGAGUUAGUUAAAAUUGAGGUCAGAUUCGUGCUCUACGCCAUUUUUUCUUUCAGAUCAUGUCCUUCUUUUUCAUUUAUGUGAUGGUGAUGACUGAACCAGUCUGGCGAGGCUCGCCUGAGAAGGUGACCAAAGGUUUAGCGCCGGUGAUGUGCUGGAUAGGUUCGUAGCCAUUGAUCUUGUUCAAAAUGUUUUAAUCCCACGCGUUGCUUGUAAUUACCACUUGUGUUACGCGUUGACUAGUGACUAUGGUGGAAAGCGCGCUGAUGACCACUUGAUCUACCACCUCAAUUAAUGAGGGAGAUCAAGUGGUCCACGUUUUUUCUGAAUAUUUGGAUUUCAUUUUAUUUGUUUUAUUUUCAUUAAUUCAUAUUAAUUUUAAUAUUGAUUCAAAAAAUAUGAGAGUUUCACCAAAAAAAUUUAAAUAAAAUCCUCUUUCAUAUUUUGAAUUAAAAUUAUUUUUUGGAUCAUUAUUAAUAUUUUCAUGAUUUAAUUGAUUUUGUGAAUAUUUUUAAUUGUUUAAAAAUACUUUUAAGUCUAUAAAAAUUCUGAAUUUUUUUCUCCAAGGUCCUUUGACCUUGUUUGACCUAUGAUAAAUCUCAUGGCCAUUUCUUUGAUAUUUUGAUGAGGUUUUAGGAAUUUGACAAACCAUAUUUAAUUUAAUGCAUUAUUUUUUAGUAUUUUUAAAUUGAAUAAAUGCCAAAUAAUUGUGUUGAGCCAUUUUGAUUGUUUGUAUGAGUUUGAUUUGUGUUGUUGGGUCUUGGUCAAAGUUGAUUUGACUUUGCUAGGUUAAGAUCAUUGGAUUUAGGGGAUUGAUGAAAUGUACGUUCCAUCUCCCAAAAUGAAUUAAUGAGCUUAAUUUAGUAAAAGUCCUUCUUUGUCAAAUUUGAGUUUUAUCCAUUUCCCCUCCCUUUUCAUCUUACUCCCCUUCUUUAUGCAUUCAUGUCAUGGUCCUAUGAUAUCUCAAUGUCCUAAGGCUAGUUGAUUGAAAAUCAACAUAAGUAUGGAUGAGAUUAGGCCACCUCUUUUGCAUAUUCUUUUUGUGUGUGGUAUGUUUCAUGAGCAUAGUCCAUUAUACUAUGUCUCUAACAUGCAUUAACACCAAAAUUCUAUUGUCCGACCUUAAAUAGUUGUGACUUCCACAUAAGUCCAAUUACGAUUGCUUAACAUAACGCUAAAUUUUUGACACAAAAGGCAUAGCAUUAUAAUUAGUGAGAUUAUAAGUCUCCCCUCUUUCAUGGUAUUAUGUGGAAACUUGGCAUUUUUCCUUCCUUUGGAAGAUGUCUUGGUUCAAGGAUCCAUGCUUGUGAUAAGUGGGUUGAGUGUUCUCAAAAGAAUGACUUAAAAGAAAAGGCAAAAGCAAUACUAACUUCUAAUUCAUUAACAACUAAAAUUUACUUUUAAUUUAUUUACUUUAAUGCACUUUAUUUUUAAGCCUUAUUCAUUUGUCAUUAUUCAUACCAUUCUAAUUGUUUAUGUUAAUGUCAUUUUCACUUUGUCCAUUUGGACCAUAUUUUGUGAUAUAUUUUGCUUGUGUAUAUUUUGUUUGUUUGUGUGGUCUUUGACCAUUAAUGUACAUAAUAAGAAAAUGUUAAUGUCAUUUUCACUUUGUCCAUUUGGACCAUAUUUUGUGAUAUAUUUUGCUUGUGUAUAUUUUGUUUGUUUGUGUGGUCUUUGACCAUUAAUGUACAUAAUAAGAACAAAAAACCCUAAAAAACAUCUUGUGUGGACUGUUGGUUUGAUCUGAGACAAUUGGACUUAGAAUUUAGGCAACACUCCCUAUGCAAAGGACUUGGCAAUGCCAAAUUUCAUGUAACCAAGUGCUUGUAAUCUGAAACUUCAUUUGAUACAUCAUUGAAGAUCCAUUUGAGCUCAUCUACAAUAGGAUCAUUAUGAAGCUGUUAUUUUGAACCUGUGACUUAUGGCAUUAUGGAAUUCAUCUGUUACAUGGGCAAAUUUGAAGAAGAUCAUGGAAUGGCUAAGCUUGGAUCUGGCUAUCUUUAUUUGAUGCCUUGCUCUUCAAGUUAAUAUUGUGUGUCUUGUUUGUUGCUUGAUUCUAAUGUCCAAGGGAAUUUGGCUUUCUAUAUGACAUUCUUGUCUAUUGGAUUGUAGCCCAUUGGUCAGAUCUUUUCAACACUUAACUUUUAAAUUUAUGCUUAGGAUUAGUCUCUUCAUCUCUUCCCCAUCUCUUUAAUUUCAAAAUCUCUCCCUCCUUUUAAAAACUUCUUUGUUUGUACUUAUUUUUUUAGAACUUAGACCAUUUUGCAAACUAGAAACUUUGGCCUUAUGCCAUUGCAUUUUAAACUUCUUUUCUUAAAUCGAACUUGUAAAUAAACUUAAUUAUACUUGACUUAAAUUUUUUAAAAGACAAAAAGAACUAAUUCAUUCAAACCAUUUUCUAGUCCUUUGUGCCUUUCAAACCUAAUAUUUGUUAAAAGCAAUGCAUUCACUUUGAAAUUUGUAUCACGAACUACGAGGUUUUGAUCCCUCAUUUUUAUGUUGGUACGUAGGCACAAGUCCGAAGAUCUUGUCAAACACAAUAAUAAUUAAUGAAUUCUUUUCUCAUCCCCCAAUUCUAUUUGCUUGUAAACAUCAUUUGUACAAAAUACAUAUGCACACAAGAAAUGGCUCCCUAGGAGUACCUAGGACACUUUGGGUGCUAACACAUUCCCUCUGUGUAACCAACCCCCUUACAUGUAAUCUCUGGAAUUUUAUUAGUUUUGAUUUGAAAACUUCUUAUUUUUUGGGUUUUGUUCUACUUUUCCCCUUUUCCCUUGGAAAUAAUAAAAGCGCGGUGACGACUCUUGUUAUUUGAUGUCUUGCUUAUCCAUAACUUGAUGAUCAUGAAUUUAUCGCUACAUAGUGGAUUGUGUUUCUCAGUUGUAAGUUAUUGUAAGGUUGAAGGGAAGUGAGAUGGGUCUCAUAUCUAGAAGUGUCUUAGAUAGAAACAUCCACAGUUAGAGAUUAAGUGAGAAGUCUGUAAAACCUGAGGUUGUUUAGGACUUCAAACUAAUUAUGUGAUAGUGGAUUUCUUUCCUGGCUUGGUAGCCCCUAGAUGUAGGCGACGUUGCACCAAACUAGGUUAACAACUAAUUGUGUUAUUCACUAUCGUACUAUUAUUUAAAUCCUAUUAUUUUUUGUGGUGUGAUAAUAUGUUGCCCCUGAUGUCGUGACAUCAUGUACGACAUCCGGGAUCUGCUUACCAAAAUUUCAGUAGGUAACGAUUCUCUCCCUUCCAUUACUAAUGUUAUUUUAGUUGAAGAAUUAACGCAUAAACUUUUGUCCAUAAGUCAACUAAGUGACAAAAACUAUGAAAUUAGUUUCAAUUAAAAGUCCUGUAAAGUUGUUAGUAAAAAGGAUGGCUCAGUUCUUUUCAAUGGAAAGAGGAAGAACACCAUUUAUAAGAUAAGACUUUUUGAUUUGAAAAAUAAAAACAUAAAAUGUCUUAUGCCUGUAAAUGAAGAGCAACGGACGUGGCAUAGACAAUUGGGCCAUGUUAGCAUGAGGAGGAUUUCUCAUCUAAACAAGGUUAAUCUAGUCAGAGGCCUUCCAAAUAUGAAGUUUGCUUCAGAUGCUCUUUGUGAAGCAUGUUAGAAAGACAAUUUUUCUAAAACUUAUUUCAAAGCUAAAAAUGUUGUUUCAACUUCCAGACCAUUGGAACUUCACAUUGACUAGGCAAUUUGCAGUUAACCAGGCAUAUAUGUUAUGAACUCGGUUCAAGUGAACCAAGUGUGUAUUAAGCUAGGCGUAUAUAAGCUCUAAAUCAGGUGUAUACAAGUUUUGAUAUCAACCAAGCAUGCAUACAACCGGGCAUAUGAAAGCUCUGAAAAAUAUGCUCUAUGACGAGGCUGAUGACCAUACUUUCUGACACUCAAACAAAGUCGUUUCUGAAAUGAAAUACUUUUGUACCCAAACUUUUGCAUUCUGGGAAGUUACUACUUUCAUAGUCACCAAGCUUCUGGCUUAUGGAAAGUUAUUUCUUUCAUACUGAUUGAGAUUUUUAUAUGUGUUAUGAUUAUUUUAAGUCUUAAAUUUAGGGGGAGCUUGCAAACCUAACUCUGAUAUUCUAAGAUGAAAAAUAAUUCUUAACAGUAUAAAAUUCAAGGGGAGUUUACAAACUCACUCUGAUAUUUUUAUGUAAUAAAAGUUGUUCGUCAAAAUACAGGAUUUUGUCAUCAUCAAAAAGGGGGAGAUGUUUCUUUCCACCUUCACAUUUUAGUGCAUUCAUUUUAAUUUUUUGAGCAUUUUAGCACCCAAAAUUUAUUCAUUAUGAGUCCUUUUGUUUUUAUUUCUUUGUCAAAAUGUUCGUAUAAUUAAAUAAAAUUUUCUAAUUUUUCGUUUCAAUUUAAUUUUGAUUAUUUAGGAUGAUUUGAUUUGAUUUGGUUUAGUUUGUUUCUAACUUUUUUUUCUUCUCUAAAUUAAACACCAAGGCCAUUUGUGGACUUUCAAAAAUUUCAAAACCCUAGUUCACCAUAUAUAUUUAUGUGCUGCUAAAGGAGAGUGAGGAGAUAUAGAGAAGCAAAUGUGGAGCCAUCUAGAAAUCACCACGUGGUUUGUUUUCAAAUUUCAGGAAAGAAAGGGGAGACCUCUCACGCAUCGCCAACUAUUGGUUUUUGUUUUGUCUUUUUCAAAUUGUUUCUUGGUUGUACAAUUAAUAGAGGUGCGUGGAGGGGCACAUAAAAAAGACGGUUUAGAUUGAAUAGCAUCAUCACCUAUCUCUUAUUCUCAAAAACAAAAAGACUCCCUCUGCUAUCUUCCUCUCUCGCCCAACUUUGUCACCUUAACCUCCCCACAUAUUCUCAACAUAAACUAAUAUAUCCUUUCUUCUCCCUCCGUCGUGCCUUUACCAGUUACGACACCACCAACCGAACCUCACAUCUUCCACGUAUCAUCUCAGCAACACCUCACCGCCUCAAUUUUUUUUCUGUUAAUCAUCACUAUUUCAUCACCAAAGUUUUAUUCCACCUUAAACUCUUCAAGACUCACCUUGAAACCCUUUCCAAAUAAAUCUCUAGCAAUCCCUCACAGUCGUACCACCUUACUUCGACAAACAACCAAGCCUCCAAAAAACUAUCCGUUCAGCCACCCUAAACCCACCAUAAUCUCAACCCACCACCGGGAAAAAAAAUACCUUUAAAACCACCAUAACAAGCUGCUACAAACUAACUUCAAAACCACCCACAAACUAAACCUCUUAGUUAGCUCCAUUUCCGAACACCACCUCGAAACCUCCGUCUUCCAACGCUGGCAGAACUAUUGCGAUCAACACCUCCACCAUAACUCAGCCUUGCUCAACUCAACUCUAUACCACAACCGAGCAACAACC